rnacentral:rRNA from 1 species
UAAUACGUAGGGUGCGAGCGUUAAUCGGAAUUACUGGGCGUAAAGCGUGCGCAGGCGGUUCGUUGUGUCGGUGGUGAAAGCCCCGGGCUUAACCUGGGAAUGGCCAUGGAAACUGGCGAACUGGAGUGUGGCAGAGGGGGGUGGAAUUCCACGUGUAGCAGUGAAAUGCGUAGAGAUGUGGAGGAACACCGAUGGCGAAGGCAGCCCCCUGGGCUAACACUGACGCUCAUGCACGAAAGCGUGGGGAGCAAACAGGAUUAGAUACCCUGGUAGUCCACGCCCUAAACUAUGUCAACUGGUUGUCGGGGAAGCAAUUCCUUGGUAACGAAGCUAACGCGUGAAGUUGACCGCCUGGGGAGUACGGCCGCAAGGUUA